AAAAAAAAGCGACUAAAUUUGAAAACAGAUUUUCUUUGUUUCGGUGCCUUACCCAUUUGGGCGUCACUCUAAAACUGAAAGCUUUCAAUCUCAGUCACAACAACAGUAGAUCUCAAAGCUGCAGUGGAUAAAAACCCUUUUCAGCUCAUCUUAAGAGGUAUAAUGUAAGAGAAAUUAAUGCAUUGCAGAAGAUCUGUGGAGCAUCACAAACUACAGGAGCAUUAAACAUCAAGAAAAAUGGCAAACAAAGAAGACAAGGGACAAUCUGAUCAAUCAAGAAAGAAAAAGUCCUUGAGAUUAAUCAGACGGAGCAGCAUUAAUAGCGGCAAACCAAACUUUUCUCGUGAUUCAGACAGACCAGCAAUGAUUCAUUCUGAUGAUUCAGAGACACUUAGAAAUGAGGUGAGAUAAUAAUCAUAUAUGCGGAUACCAAAUGUAAAAUUGAUGCUGAAAUCUGAUAUUAUACUGAGAGUUAUGUGCAUUGCAUUAUUUUUCUUUAGAAAGCUGUAGUUCCUUGUAAUAAUGUUCAUAGUGGGAGGAAGAAAGUGACCAGGUUUGGUGCUAGUAGACUUGUUUAAUAUUUUAACCAGCGCAUUUACAAAAUGAUAAAGGCAGGCUUACAAUUUCUCCCUUAUCUCUCCAAGCAGAG